UACGGAGGGUGCGAGCGUUGUCCGGAAUUACUGGGCGUAAAGCGCGCGUAGGCGGAUCGCUAAGUCAGGGGUGAAAUCCCAGGGCUCAACCCUGGAACUGCCUCUGAUACUGGCAAUCUGGAGAUCGGGAGAGGUUGGUGGAAUUCCGAGUGUAGAGGUGAAAUUCGUAGAUAUUGGGAAGAACACCGAUGGCGAAGGCAGCCAUCUGGACCGACACUGACGCUGAGGCGCGAAAGCGUGGGGAGCAAACAGG
rnacentral:rRNA from 1 species